rnacentral:rRNA from 1 species
AUUGAACGCUGGCGGCAGGCCUAACACAUGCAAGUCGAGCGAGCGGCGGACGGGUGAGUAAUGUAUGGGGACUGCCCGAUAGAGGGGGAUAACUACUGGACACGGUGGCUAAUACCGCAUACUAUCGGAUAACCCAUAUGGGAUUAGCUAGUAGGGGGGGUAAAGGCUCACCUAGGCGACGAUCGCUAGCUGGUCUGCGAGGAUGAUCGGCAAAACUGGAACUGGGACAUGGCCCGAACUCCUACGGGGGAAGAAGUGGGAAAUAUUGCAAAAUGGGCAAAGGCCUGAUGAGGCAAUGCCGGGUGUAUGAAGAGGGCCUUGGGGUUGUAAGGUACUUUAAGCGGGGAGGCGUUACCCGAAGAAGAAGCAACGGCUAACUCCGUGCCAGCAGCCGCGGUAAUAC